rfam:Erinaceus europaeus unplaced genomic scaffold scaffold00898, whole genome shotgun sequence
CAGUGCAGUCACCCAUAAAGUAGAAAGCACUACUAACAGCACUGGAGGGUGUAGUGUUUCCUACUUUAUGGAUGAGUGUACUGU